rnacentral:rRNA from 1 species
GGAUAACCGUGGUAAUUCUAGAGCUAAUACAUGCUUAAAACCCCAACUUCGGGAGGGGUGUAUUUAUUAGAUAAAAAACCAACGCCCUUUCGGGGCUUCUUGGUGAUUCAUGAUAACUUUACGGAUCGCAUGGCCUUGCGCCGGCGACGGUUCAUUCAAAUUUCUGCCCUAUCAACUUUCGAUGGUAAGGUAUUGGCUUACCAUGGUUUCAACGGGUAACGGGGAAUUAGGGUUCGAUUCCGGAGAGGGAGCCUGAGAAACGGCUACCACAUCCAAGGAAGGCAGCAGGCGCGCAAAUUACCCAAUCCCGACACGGGGAGGUAGUGACAAUAAAUACUGAUACAGGGCUCUUUUGGGUCUUGUAAUUGGAAUGAGUACAAUUUAAACCUCUUAACGAGGAACAAUUGGAGGGCAAGUCUGGUGCCAGCAGCCGCGGUAAUUCCAGCUCCAAUAGCGUAUAUUAAAGUUGUUGCAGUUAAAAAGCUCGUAGUUGAAACUUGGGUCUGGCUGGCAGGUCCGCCUCACCGCGUGUACUUGUCCGGCCGGGCCUUCCUUCUGGAGAACCUCAUGCCCUUCACUGGGCGUGUUGGGGACCAGGACUUUUACUUUGAAAAAAUUAGAGUGUUCAAAGCAGGCCUUUGCUCGAAUACGUUAGCAUGGAAUAAUAGAAUAGGACGUGCGGUCCUAUUUUGUUGGUUUCUAGGACCGCCGUAAUGAUUAAUAGGGACAGUCGGGGGCAUCAGUAUUCAAUUGUCAGAGGUGAAAUUCUUGGAUUUAUUGAAGACUAACUACUGCGAAAGCAUUUGCCAAGGAUGUUUUCAUUAAUCAGUGAACGAAAGUUAGGGGAUCGAAGACGAUCAGAUACCGUCGUAGUCUUAACCGUAAACUAUGCCGACUAGGGAUCGGGCGAUGUUCUUUUUCUGACUCGCUCGGCACCUUACGAGAAAUCAAAGU